rnacentral:rRNA from 1 species
AGGACGAACGCUGGCGGCGUGCUUAACACAUGCAAGUCAAGGGGGCCCAGUAGCAAUACUGGGCAACCGGCGAACGGGUGCGUAACACGUGAGCAACCUACCGAAAUGUGGGGGAUAGCCGGCCUAACGGCCGAGUAAUACCGCAUACGCUCUCGAUGAGGCAUUUCAUUGAGAGGAAACCUACGGGACAUUUCGAGGGGCUCGCGGCCUAUCAGCUAGUUGGAGAGGUAACGGCUCACCAAGGCAACGACGGUA